CAUCAUUCAGGGAACGUGUACACAAAGUUAUCUCAAACGAGUAUUUAAAUAUUACUACUUUAAUAUGGGAUGCUGUGAAGUAUUGAGAAUCGCUUUUAGUGUCAUCAAUGCAUUAUGUACUCCUGUACUUAUUGCGGCAAUUUACGGUGUGAACAUGGGAUAUCUUUAUGAUGUUCCACGAUUCGUUUUACUUUACGUAGUCGCGCUAUUCAUCAAUGUACAUCUUAAUAUGCUAGCUUUGGAACGCACAUUUAAGACGAAUCGUAGAUUAAUUAUAACAUGUGCUUCCUGCUCGAUCUUUUUUAUUUUUUUGCAAUUAUUGAAACUUAAUCUAGUAAUUGUAUUUAUAUUCUUCAUACAUUUUAUUAACUUCUUGAUCCUAUGUUAUCUUGUUAUUUCGUUUAUUAUUGUGUGCUUAAUACACUUGGAUUUUCGAAAAAAUCAAAACACGGCGAUUGAUACUGAAUUGAAUACGAUCGAAACAUCACCAGAGUAAUGAGAGAUCUGAUAUCGAUACUAAAUACAUUUUGAGAAUUAAUUAUUGGAUACUCAUUCAACGCUGAAUGCUCAACUACCUCAGAAGAGACUUUUAUCUAAAAUAUCUAGUGAUAAUAUCUAGUGAUUUGAGUUAUUUUUAUUACUGUAAAUUGUUUUAUAUUUCAAUCAAAAUCAAGUCGAAUAUAUUAAAAAAUUUAAUAUAGUUGCUUAAUAUUUAUAACUUACUAGUAGAGUGCAAAAUCAGCUUGCAACUAUUGAACUUGAUUUAAACUAUGGCAGCGUCAAUGAAUCUGUAUGUGAUGUAGAAUACGGCGGUGGCUACAGUUUGUGAACACCGGAGUCUAUUUCAAUUUGCACAUUUUUUGUACUCAUCAAUAUGCUGAUAAUUGUCGAUCUUCUUUAUUCACAUUUCUCUCUAGCUUGUUGAAAUUCUCUUUUUGGCAAUCGGCUCUUAAUGUUGAUUAGCUGGGGUAAAUUGAUACACAACGUAAAAAAAAAGCGUAAAUCAUGGGAAGAAAUGUACAUUUAUUAUUUUAAU